rnacentral:ribozyme from 1 species
CCCAUGAGUGUUUUUUGAUGCGAUGAACUCUUUUCUCUUCUCUUCUUAGCCGCUUAUAUUCCUCUUUCUCGUCGUGCAGAACGAUAACUUGUCGCCUAGAUAUCCAAGCUUGGGUAUACGGGGAAACCCACCCCUUGGGCCGAUGGGAGGCAAGGCUGUAUUGAGAGGU